rnacentral:rRNA from 1 species
GAUGAACGCUGGCGGCGUGCCUAAUACAUGCAAGUCGAGCGAACAGACGAGGAGCUUGCUCCUCUGACGUUAGCGGCGGACGGGUGAGUUACACGUGGAUAACCUACCUAUAAGACUGGGAUAACUUCGGGAAACCGGAGCUAAUACCGGAUAAUAUAUUGAACCGCAUGGUUCAAUAGUGAAAGACGGUUUUGCUGUCACUUAUAGAUGGAUCCGCGCCGCAUUAGCUAGUUGGUAAGGUAACGGCUUACCAAGGCAACGAUGCGUAGCCGACCUGAGAGGGUGAUCGGCCACACUGGAACUGAGACACGGUCCAGACUCCUACGGGAGGCAGCAGUAGGGAAUCUUCCGCAAUGGGCGAAAGCCUGACGGAGCAACGCCGCGUGAGUGAUGAAGGUCUUCGGAUCGUAAAACUCUGUUAUUAGGGAAGAACAAAUGUGUAAGUAACUAUGCACGUCUUGACGGUACCUAAUCAGAAAGCCACGGCUAACUACGUG